rnacentral:rRNA from 1 species
AACGAACGCUGGCGGCAUGCCUAACACAUGCAAGUCGAACGAGACCUUCGGGUCUAGUGGCGCACGGGUGCGUAACGCGUGGGAAUCUGCCCUUGGGUUCUGAAUAACAGUGAGAAAUUACUGCUAAUACCGGAUGAUGACGAAAGUCCAAAGAUUUAUCGCCCAAGGAUGAGCCCGCGUAGGAUUAGCUAGUUGGUAAG